CGGGAACGUCGAGACUGGAGC
rnacentral:miRNA from 6 species